rnacentral:rRNA from 1 species
GACAGAGGAUGCAAGCGUUAUCCGGAAUGAUUGGGCGUAAAGCGUCUGUAGGUGGCUUUUCAAGUCCGCCGUCAAAUCCCAGGGCUCAACCCUGGACAGGCGGUGGAAACUACCAAGCUGGAGUACGGUAGGGGCAGAGGGAAUUUCCGGUGGAGCGGUGAAAUGCGUAGAUAUUGGGAAGAACACCGGUGGCGAAAGCGCUCUGCUGGACCUGCACUGACACUGAGGGACGAAAGCUAGGGGAGCGAAAGGG